rnacentral:rRNA from 1 species
GACGAACGCUGGCGGCGUGCUUAACACAUGCAAGUCGAACGAAGUGGCGAACGGGUGAGUAAUACGUGGGUAACCUGCCCUCCUUUUUGGGAUAAGCCUUGGAAACGGGGUCUAAUACCGAAUAAGGGGGGAUGGGCUCGCGGCCUAUCAGCUUGUUGGUGGGGUGAUGGCCUACCAAGGCGGUGCCGGGUAGCCGGACUGAGAGGGUGACCGGCCACAGUGGUACGGAGCUACGGCCCAGAGUCCUACGGGAGGCAGCAGUGGGGGAUAUUGCACAAUGGGCGAAAGACUGAUGCAGCGACGCUGCGUAGGGGAUGAAGGCUUUCGGGUUGUAAUCCUCGUUCGGGAUCGAAAUGGUAUGUGGAGAAGAAGCGCCGGCUAACUACGUGCCAGCAGCCGCGGUAAUAC